AUUGAACGCUGGCGGCAGGCCUAAAACAUGCAAGUCGAACGAGUGGCGGACGGGUGAGUAAUGUCUGGGAAACUGCCCGAUGGAGGGGGAUAACUACGGGAAACGGUAGCUAAUACCGCAUACCAUCGGAUGUGCCAAGAUGGGAGUAGCUGGUAGGUGAGGUAACGGCUCACCUCGGGAACGAUCCCUAGCUGGUCUGAGAGGAUGACCAGGCAAACUUGAACGGAGACCACGUCCAGACGCCCACGGGAGGCAGCAUUGGGGAAUAUUGAACAAUGGGCGCAAGCAUGAUGUAGCCAUGGCGCGGGUAUGAGGAAUGCAUUCGGGUUGUAAAGUACUUUCAGCGGGGAGGCGUUAUCCGCAGAAGAAGCAACGGCUAACUCCGUGCCAGCAGCCGCGGUAAUUC
rnacentral:rRNA from 1 species